GGGUAUAGCUCAGUGGUAGAGCACAUGCUUAGCAUGCACAAGGUCCUGGGUUCAAUCCCCGGUCCAUCCA
rnacentral:tRNA from 1 species